ensembl:lncRNA
UGUUCAGUCUAACCCCCCCCUCCACCUGGGCUACGAUGUUCAGUCUAACCCCCCCCUCCACCUGGGCUACGAUGUUCAGUCUAAACCCCCCCCCCCUCCACCUGGGCUAUGAUGUUCAGUCUAACACCACCUCCACCUGGGUUUCGGUGUUCCUCCACCUGGGUACUGGGGUGUGUUCGCCCUGCACCAAACAGCAGACAUCAAACUUUUUUACGGUGAUGCCGUAACGAACAAGCCGCAGUUUGUAUUUGCUAGGACCCAAAAGGAAGCAAACGUACUGAAAGCAGAAGGGAUCUAUGUACAUUUGCCCAAUAAGAAACUCUUGUUUUUGUUUAUUCUGUUGCAAAAUGUUUUGGGCCCUGCUGAACAUGACCCAGAUGGAGAGACUUGGGUGGGAAGAAAGAUGGAGGUCAAACUACAUCACAGACUUUAUCCCAGUUUAAAGGGCCCAGUUUUUCAACAGGUAUCUGGAUUUCGCCUGUUGGAUAGGAUUUUAAUGGCGAGCGAAUGGAACUGUGGUUGGGGCUAGUCUGUCCAAUUUAGUUUUUAUCCCAGGUGAAAUCCAGAUAGUUGUAGAAAAGUGAACCCUAGGUUAUCAUACUAACUCUGAGUAACUGUGUAGUAUGCAUGGCCACAUUGCUUCACUCCAUACCCAGUGUGAAUGUUGAAGUAGCCUUGUUCGUCUCCAAUUGGCUGUGCAUUGCUCAAAUGUGUUGAUGUGAAAAGCUGCAGUUUGCUGAUGAUUAAAAUCUAAAGGGAUAGUACACCCAAAUAAAAAUUACAUUGUUUUCCUUACCCUGUAAGCAGCGUAUGGACUAGUUAAAGAUGCAUUCUGUGAUAAAUGUUGGCCACUGGUUGUAAAAGUGGCGCUGAAGAGCUAAUACAGGCCCCUAAAAUCAUACUAUGUAUGUGCUGAUAAGGGCCAUGUUGACAAAACCACUCGCUUUCAAACUUGGAAUAUAAUGGCUAACUCAGAUGUCAUAUGACUGUGAUACUAUGUAUAAUUAGCAAAAAAAAUUUACUUCACUUCCAGUCCGAUGAGAGGUUUAAAAAAAGAUUCUCUUGAAGUCCUGGAAUGCAUCGUUAACAGUGAAAUCCAUGCUUUGGUUUCUGUCAACCUGGCGAUGGUGUUUAAAUGCUCAUGUUGAAGCAUUUAAGGGCAAAUCCAAGGCAAACAGACCUGCACCCUGAUGGCACAUUUCAUGUUGGACAUAUUUGGUCAUUUGGGGGAAUUAUCCCUUUAGUGACGCCAAUGAAGGGUGUUUCCAACUCACCUAGGAUCAGUUAACCGUGCCCAGUUUUAACCCUUACCUGUAGGGCAGAGUACGCGUGCUGAUGUAGAAUCUGCCCGUACAAUCUUGUCUGCCAUUAUUGAAGUACUCAUGAUCCUGGAUUAGCACUUGGAUGCUUUAUGGGUCCCUUUCUUAGGGCUGCUUGGCCCUAUCUGGGAUACUUAAUGAAACAGCACAGCACUCAUACAAACGCAUUGUCUAGUUAGAAGAAUCCAGCGCCUUACAAAUGGACCCUAUUCUCUACUUCUGGACCGGGUCCUUGGGGAGGGGCAGAAGUAGGUGACUCCACUGCCCUAGGAAGUGUACACUUUCUCCUUUAGUGUGCAUUGGUUCACUGCUCCCUACAUCAGUCAGGUGGAGUCCUGGUCUGGGGGCAGGAACUGAUGUGUCUGAUACUAACUAAGGAAGGUCUACAGCUAGGAGUAAGGAGGGACUGUUAGGAGGUAACCAUGGGCAGGAGGGACUGUUAGGAGGUAACCAUGGGGAGGAGGGACUAUUAGGAGGUAACCAUGGGGAUAAUCUCAACCCUGGCUUUGCUUGGGAGGCACGCCUUGUCACUUUUAGGCACUUGAUGCAGGUCUGAACUAUAUUGCUUAGCACUUGUGAGAAAUACAGAUUUUGCACUCUUUGGGCAUCCGUGUCCUGUUCCGAUGUAACUGAAUCCCAAAUGAACUCUUACACCCUUUGCACUCGUGGCGAUUUCAGAGGAUUUGAUUGGUGUAAAAUGACAGUUUGAAUCUAGCAUAUUCAAAUUGCUUACAGCUGUCAAACCUUUCCAUGUGCGUAGGAGGUUGUUUACAUCUAUGUUUGUGAUUGGUCCAGACAAUCGUGCUACAUUCCUAUCUGAGCCUUGUGUAAUGUUCCCUCCCACUGAAAAGGUGUCUGGGCGGGGCCUACAUUUUGUCCGUCAAUCAAUCAACAAAUAAACGACCAGGUUCACACUCGCAUCAUGUGAUUAGGGAACCCCGUCUGCCACCCAAAAUGGCAAACUUUUCCACAAAGAGCCGUGCUAUAACUGGUGCACUAUGUAAGGAAUAGGGUGCAUAACUGGUGCACUAUGUAAGGAAUAGGGUGCAUAACUGGUGCACUAUGUAAGGAAUAGGGUGUAUAACUGGUGCACUAUGUAAGGAAUGGGGUGCAUAACUGGUGCACUAUGUAAGGAAUAGGGUGUAUAACUGGUGCACUAUGUAAGGAAUAGGGUGUAUAACUGGUGCACUAUGUAAGGAAUGGGGUGCAUAACUGGUGCACUAUGUAAGGAAUAGGGUGUAUAACUGGUGCACUAUGUAAGGAAUAGGGUGUAUAACUGGUGCACUAUGUAAGGAAUAGGGUGUAUAACUGGUGCACUAUGUAAGGAAUAGGGUGUAUAACUGGUGCAUUAUGGAAGGAAUGGGGUGCAUAACUGGUGCACUAUGUAAGGAAUAGGGUGUAUAACUGGUGCACUAUGUAAGGAAUAGGGUGUAUAACUGGUGCACUAUGUAAGGAAUGGGGUGCAUAACUGGUGCACUAUGCAAGGAAUAGGGUGUAUAACUGGUGCACUAUGUAAGGAAUGAGGUGCAUAACUGGUGCAUUAUGGAAGGAAUGGGGUGUAUAACUGGUGCAUUAUGGAAGGAAUAGGGUGCAUAACUGGGGCACUAUGUAAGGAAUAGGGUGUAUAACUGGUGCAUUAUGUAGGGAAUAGGGUCUGGUUUGUAACGCUGCCUUGUGCCCAUCUCCAUCAAGCCAACACUACUAUCAAAUGUUUCCUGAUACUUAUUCGUUUAAAGUAAUUAAUCUUAUAUACUUAACAUUUAGGUGUUGGUAUAGUACAUGUGGUUCUCACUGUUAAAGAAUAAAAGAAACCAUUGAAUUGCGAUUGAUGUACUUUUGUUUCAAUAAAAAAUAUGGUAUAUUGAAAAUAACCUUUACAUUUCAUUGUCUCUGUUAGACACCUGGUUAGCCCUGUGUGGUAAUUUUGUUGCUAGUCUGAGUUGCCUGGCCGAAUUUCAUGGAGUCAUGACUGUUUAGUGGUGUGGGUCUCCUGGCUUCCUUGCAGACAUGGGGCCUUUGAAGAGACCUCUGGUGGUCUGGUAUGUACGGGUCUACAAGCUGUGAGUUAAUUGUUAACCAACUCGGCACCUAAAGAACUAGCGAUACAGUCAGUUGUUGGUUUCUU